rnacentral:rRNA from 1 species
GAUGAACGCUGGCGGCGUGCCUAAUACAUGCAAGUCGAGCGAACGGACGAGAAGCUUGCUUUUCUGAUGUUAGCGGCGGACGGGUGAGUAACACGUGGAUAACCUACCUAUAAGACUGGGAUAACUUCGGGAAACCGGAGCUAAUACCGGAUAAUAUUUUGAACCGCAUGGUUCAAAAGUGAAAGACGGUCUUGCUGUCACUUAUAGAUGGAUCCGCGCUGCAUUAGCUAGUUGGUAAGGUAACGGCUUACCAAGGCAACGAGGCAUAGCCGACGUGAGAGAGGGAUCGGCCACACUGGAGCUGAGACACGGUCCUGGCUCCUACGGGAGGCAGCAGUAGGGUAUCUGCCGCAGUGGGCGAAAACCUGACGGAGCAACGCCGCGUGAGAGAUGGAAGUCCUCGGAUCGUAAAACUCUGUUAUGAGGGAAGAACAUAUGUGUAAGUAACUGUGCACAGCUUGACGGUACCUAAUCAGAAAGCCACGGCUAACUACGUG